GUGGGGAAUCUUCCACAAUGGACGAAAGUCUGAUGGAGCAACGCCGCGUGAGUGAAGAAGGGUUUCGGCUCGUAAAGCUCUGUUGUCGGGGACGAAUGUGCAGUAUUUGAAUAAAGUAGUGCAAUGACGGUACCUGACGAGGAAGCCACGGCUAACUACGUGCCAGCAGCCGCGGUAAUACGUAGGUGGCAAGCGUUGUCCGGAAUUAUUGGGCGUAAAGGGAGCGCAGGCGGGAAGGUAAGUCGGUCUUAAAAGUGCGGGGCUCAACCCCGUGAUGGGAUCGAGACUAUCUUUCUUGAGUGCAGGAGAGGAAAGUGGAAUUCCUAGUGUAGCGGUGAAAUGCGUAGAUAUUAGGAGGAACACCAGUGGCGAAGGCGACUUUCUGGACUGUAACUGACGCUGAGGCUCGAAAGCCAGGGGAGCGAACGGGAUUAGAAACCCUAGUAGUCC
rnacentral:rRNA from 1 species